AGUGAACGCUGGCGGCAGGCCUAACACAUGCAAGUCGAACGGCAGCACAGUAAGAGCUUGCUCUUACGGGUGGCGAGUGGCGGACGGGUGAGGAAUACAUCGGAUUCCACUUUUUCGUGGGGGAUAACGUAGGGACACUUAUGCUAAUACCGCAUACGAUCUACGGGAGAAAGCAGGAGAUCUUCGCACCUUUCCCGUUUCAAUUAGACGAUGUCGGAUUAGCUAGUUGGCGGGGUAAAGGCACACCAAGGCAACGAUACGUAGCUGAUCUGAGAGGAUGAUCGGCCACACUGGAACUGAGACACGGUCCAGACUCCUACGGGAGGCAGCAGUAGGGAAUCUUCGGCAAUGGGCGCAAGCCUGAUCGAGCAAUACCGCGUGAGUGAUGAAGGCCUUCGGAUUGUAAAGCCCUUUUAUUAGGAAAGAACAGAUGCAGAUGUAUCCGCCGAUAUUCUGACGGUACCCAAUCAGUAAGCACCGGCUAACUACGUG
rnacentral:rRNA from 1 species